AUUGAACGCUGGCGGCAGGCCUAACACAUGCAAGUCGAGCGAGCGGCGGACGGGUGAGUAAUGUGUGGGGAUCUGCCUGAUAGAGGGGGAUAACUACUGGAAACGGUAGCUAAUACCGCAUACCAUCCGAUAAACCCAUAUGGGAUUAGCUAGUAGGUGGGGUAACGGCUCACCUAGGCGACGAUCCCUAGCUGGUCUGAGAGGAGGAUCAGCCACACGGGGACUGAGACACGGCCCAGACUCCUACGGGAGGCAGCAGUGGGGAAUAUUCGACAAUGGACGAAAGCCUGAGGGAGCCAUGCCGCGUGAGUGAAGAAGGCUUUAGGGUUGUAAAGUACUUUCGGCAGGGAGGCGUUACCCACAGAAGAAGCCACGGCUAACUCCGUGCCAGCAGCCGCGGUAAUUC
rnacentral:rRNA from 1 species